UUGCCGUUAAAAAGCUCGUAGUCGAACUUCGGCGCCUGCCGGCCGGUCCGCCUUCUUGGUGUGUACUUGUUGAAUGGGGCCUUACCUCCUGGUGAACGGUGAUGUCCUUUACUGGGUGUCAUCGCAAACCAGGACGUUUACUUUGAAAAAAUUAGAGUGUUCAAAGCAGGCCUUUGCUCGAAUACGUUAGCAUGGAAUAAUAAAAUAGGGCGUGCGUUUCUAUUUUGUUGGUUUCUAGAGACGCCGCAAUGAUUAACAGGAACAGUCGGGGGCAUCAGUAUUCCGUUGUCAGAGGUGAAAUUCUUGGAUUUACGGAAGACUAACUACUGCGAAAGCAUUUGCCAAGGAUGUUUUCAUUGAUCAAGAACGAA
rnacentral:rRNA from 16 species